rnacentral:lncRNA from 10 species
ACCAUCCUUCUGCCUCCAAAAUCUCCUGAACUUUUUUCCUAGGUGAAUAACCCUGUUAUUCCCCAAGUUGCCCAAACCAAAAAUCCAAGAGUCUCUGUUAUUUCUACUCCCUUAAAUCCACAAAGUCGCUAUCAUUUCUAGGUCCUAAAUACCUUGUAUCUGUCUCCUCCUCCCCAGCCUCCUGCUCUGCCCUUUAGGCAUGUAUUGUCUCUGUCUGGUAGUAUUACAGUCACUUCCCAACUCUUUCUCCUGCUCCAUUUCUGCCUCUGUCUUCUCUUCAAAAACAAAAACAAAAAAACAUGGCUUCCAGAGUGAGCUUUAAAAAAUGUGCUUCUCCUCACAUCACUCCCCUGAUGAAAACCCUCAUCAAACAAGGAAAUACAUUGCAGCUUGAGCCUCUUCUACCUUCCUGGGCCAAAGCAGACAUUGCUAAUCAAUCACUGCAUUGCGUCCUGCAAGGCAGGAUUUGGACUCAGCUUUGCUAUGAGUUCAUUGGGUUGACAAGAGAGAUGAGAACUAUUUGACAUCUCAGGAUCCUUCCUCAUCUGCCCUCUGCCUGCCAGCCUUGUUCCUGCUGCUCCUCCUCCCUUACCUGCAUUGUAGAAUUCACCUCCCAGCCGUCCUGAGCUCAGGGGAGUUCUGAGUGACUCAUACCACCAUACCUUUGCACAUGCAGUUGCCUCUGUGUGGAAUGCCCUUCCCCAAGUGUGUCUGCCUGGAAAACUUUUACUUUACUCAGGUGCCAUCCUGUCCAUGAAGUCUCGAGAUUUAGGUAUUUUUCUCCAAGCCCCCAUUGCCCCAUGACCAGGUGUUCAUUUUAGGGAGCACCCCCUUGCACUGACGUUGUUGGUUAGCAUGUCUGAGACAGAGAUAAGGCUUAUGCGUCUUCACACCCCUGGUACCUGCCAUGGCUCCACUGUGCUCAGGAGCUGUUUGUAAACAAUCAAAUGGGUGAUGGAAUAAAUAGCAUCUGUCUUA